ACCUCGGGGGUUUCCUGCUUUAUGGCGAAGGGUGAAUGAGGAUCUGCCGGAGGGAGGGAGACAACAAGGAGAGAGGGGUGUGAGAUGAUGGGGUGGGCACAUGCACAAACCCAGCCAUGAGAUGUGGGGUUGGGGGAGAGCGGGCGGGGCGCUGGGGCAGGCGGCUCCUCUCUGAGUCUGGGGGUGAUGGGAGGGGCUGCGCGUGUUCCUCGGGGGGAGUGGGGGCUGGGGAGACAGAAGCUCUGCCUCCGUGCUGUGCCUCUGAGGUGCGGAAGGACUGUGUGUGCCCCCCUCCCCUCCCCCACUGCAGUGGGGGAGCGCGGAGGAGGCGGUGGGCCACCGGGAGGCCGGACCCUCUGUACCCACCCGGAGGCCCAGCCGGCACAGCCCACCUCUCCUCAGCAGGCCCAGGGCCCUAGCCACCUCCGCCUCAGGGCCGUCCACGCUCUGCCUUCCAGCCCCUCUGCGCAGCUGGGCCCACGUGGCCCAAGACAUUCCAGGCAUCGUACCUGCCACCACCGGGAGCUCUCUGUGGAAACAGAGCUACUGUGCCAUGUCACCCGCGUGAGGCAACUGUCACCAAGGUGGGUCUGCAGAUUCUGAGGCGCCUGCAUCAAGGAAAGGCCACGUGAGGACACAACAUGAAGGCCCCGCCUACAAGCCAGGAAGGGCACCCUCACCAGACUUGACCAUGCUGGUACUCUGAUCUCAGACUCUGCCUCCAGGACAGUGAGGAAUAAAUGUCUGUGGUUU